CACUCCCCUUCCGGGGUUCUUUUCACCUUUCCCUCGCGGUACUGGUUCACUAUCGGUCACACAGUAGUAUUUAGCCUUACGAGAUGGUCCUCGCUGAUUCACACGGGAUUUCACGGGCCCCGUGCUACUCGGGAUACAAUCGCGUCCUCUCUACUUUCGACUACAGGACUUUCACCUUCUCUGGUCUGCAACUGACGCUGAGGCUCGAAAGCAUGGGUAGCGAACAGGAUUAGAUACCCUGGUAGUCCAUGCCGUAAACGAUGAGUGCUAAGUGUUGGGAGGUUUCCGCCUCUCAGUGCUGCAGCUAACGCAUUAAGCACUCCGCCUGGGGAGUACGACCGCAAGGUUGAAACUCAAAGGAAU
rnacentral:rRNA from 1 species